AUACUCCAUCCAGCCCAACCUUCCUUGCCCACUCCUCUCGAUCCCAUCGUUCGUGGCCGCCGCCGUCCGAGGGGAGUCGCCGCCGCCGCGUCUCUCGAUCCCAUCGGCCCCGUCGGAUCUCGCCGCUGGCGGACGACUCGAGAAGACCCCGCCGGAUCUCGCCCUCGUCAUCAGUUCUGGAUCGCCGCCGCCGCCGAUCCCCUCCGGAAAACAACGCCGAUCCCCUGCUCGCCCACGCACGCUGCCGCGGAUGAAGGCCGCCUGCUCGCGAUCCCCAAACCUGCUGGCGCCGCGCUCCGUAGGAUCCAAGUACGCCCCUCUCCGUGGUGUUCACUGAUUGCUUGGAGCAACAACGUGUUGUUGGAGUUGCCGAAGCAUUAGGUGAUUCGAUUGUGUGCGUUUGCUGGAUUUGUUUGACGAAGGAAAGAUGACGAUGAAGGACACACAGAGGAGUGUGAGCGGUGAUGGUACCAAGGUUACCGGCAGGUAUGCAUGCAGGAACUGACUGUACAGUGUUCCUAUAAUGCUACUGGUUUUAACGUCUGUACUGUGAUGCUACUGGCAGUUUAAAUAAAUCUGCUAUCAUUUGGGAUGUGAGUUGUCACAACUCGCUGUGCUCUGGUGUUCAGCUCAGAAUUUCUUUUGGGAAUGAUUCCUCUGAAUAGACUACUUAUGCUUGACAUUUUACUUUUGUUAUUUCUAUUUGUAACUCAAUUUCGGUAUCCUCUCAAAUUGACAAUACUUUUUCUGGAUAUGGUAGUUGAGAAUAGUUAUGGUAUAUAGCGGAGUUAGCCCAUCCUCACCAAUGACUCUUCCUCAGGGAUUUGCUGAACUAGAGUUAGUAAUGGGGGUAUUGCAGACUGUUUAGAAUUAUGGGGGUAUUGCAGACUUUAGAAACUGAAUUAAAUUUUUGUGCAAUUGAAAAAGGUGUAUACAACUUGAAUUUAUUAGGUAGUAUAGGAGAGAUAUGAAAUUUUAAAAUUGUUAGUCAGAUUUGUGUGUUGUUUUGGGUAGUAUUCAGUUUUGUUCCAUCUGAGAUGCCAAUAAUGCACAUGUGAUAUUAUCUACAUAAUUCAGUUUAUACGGCUUCCCAUAUUCCAAUGGUUGUAUUUUGCUAAAUUGCCAUCUACUUACUGGAAUUCUCACAAAUAGAAGUGCAGUCAGAAGGUAAAAAGGAUGGUAUGGUAUGUCUCCAUUCACAUGGUACUGAACUGUUAGUGAUUCUUUGUGUUAUUCUGCAGACUUGAACUUAGUUUCUAUGGUUUUCUUUUUCUGUUCAUAGACGAGAGUAUAGUCUGAAGGGAAAAAUUGGUAUGCUCUGAAGGGUGUGCAAGAACAGUGAGAUUUAUAUUACUGAAUGUAUUGUUAACAAUUUGUUAUUUUGCAGACUUGCUCUCAGUUUUUAUUCUUGGCAGGUGAUUCUUCAUGAUAAUUUUUGUAGAGGAACAUUUUUGGUAAGCGUAUUGUAAUAUUGACUCCCACCUUUUUAUUUACAUGUAAAGAUGACCAAUUGGUAAUUUUAAAAUUUAAAUGUAAAUUUAACUUAUUUUGUGAAAUAACAUCAUGUCGUUCAGAUAAUUUGAUUUCCCUCUAUGAUAUUCUUUGGCUUUAGUAUAUCUCAGGACAAAGUUGUCAGAAGCUCUAUGCUUCAUAACCAAAACAUAAUCUCCUUUUUGUUAUUUGAUUUGCAUCAUGAUGUGUGCCCAUAUGUUCCCCUGUUGCUUAAAAAAAUCAACUUCCGGUGCAACACACGUGCAUAUACCUAUCAUGACAAAUAAACCUCACGAUGAAAGCAUUUAUGUACCUAUUUAAUUUGUGAUGGCAGCGAUGGGGCUGGGAACGGUGAUCGGUGGUGCUGGUGUCGGCAGUGCGGUACAAGGUCAGGAUGCGGGAUGGGACAGCCAUCCGUGUGAGGCAGUCGGCGGCGAGGGUUUGUGGCAUCACGAGGAGCGCCCGCGGAUUCAAGGUGUUGGCCCGAGACCUCCGACGAGGGAGGAGACGAUGUUAGUAUUUCCAUAGGAAAAAAACAAGAGAAGAAGAACAAGAACAACGACGGCAAUCUCGGGUUCCAGGUACGAUGGAGCCGGCGGCGAAGCGCAUGGCGCUCGCAAACGUGAUAGUGGAUGGCGACGAUACCCUCAACUGCGGCAUCUGCUACCUCCCUCUCAAGCCACCAGUCUUCUAGUGUGGCGUCGGUCAUACCAUAUCCUCGUGGUGCCACGACAAGAUGGUGGCGGCAAGGAGGUGCCGUGUGUGUCACAUCCGGUUGACCGGCGGCUAUCGCUGGAACAUCGCACUGGAGAGGCUAACAGAGUCCAUCCGGGUGCCGUGCGCCAACGCCGCGCACGGCUGCACUGCCACGCCGGCCUACUAUGACCACCCCGACCACCUCAAGGCGUGCCCUCACGACGCCGUGCUAUUGCCCGCAGGCAGACUGCGGUUUCGCUAGCUCCACGGCGGCACUCCUGGACCACUUUGCCGACACGCACGGGUGGCCGUGCAUGACCGGGCUUGGGCCUGGGCGUGCAUCGAGGUCCAGCUCUGUGACGGCUUCAACGCCUUCUCGGCCCGUGCCCAAUGCCGGCAGUACCUGUUCCUGCUGAACGUGGCGUUGAACCCGUUUGGCCGAGCGGUCUCCGUGCUCUCCCUGCAUCCUCGGGCGUUGUCGGCGGCGCCAUGUUCUUUGGAGUUCGAGGUAAGACUCAGGUACUGCUGCAACAUCAACCACCGUGGCGACACCAGGAAACUACGUUUAAAGUAGGGUGCACUGAUCUCUCCGAACUCAGAUUUAUGACAAGGACACAAGCAAAUUUAUAGCAUCCGUUGUGAUGAUACAAGGGAAGUAAGCAUAGAUGCGCUCAACGUGAUGAUAGGUGGGAGAGCUCGGCCUAUGCUGCCAACUGAUCUGCAGCGGUGCAGAAGGAGAUUUCAAAAGCAGGGCAAGCGAGAGCGACUGUUCUAUUGAUGGUCAAAAGGGAGGGCUUGGCAAGAGAGAUUGAGGGAGCUCUACUACCUCGAUCUUGGCAUAGAACCUGAUGGCAUCAUGCCCAGGAAACUUCCUUCUUCAGUAUGUAUGGGGAUUUAUAUGACACCAAAAGAGAAGUCCGGCGUGUUUCUUGGUUCUAUGGAACCCCUCGACCGGAAGCAAAUAGAUCACAUCGCAAGUUGCUUGCCCAAUAUAAUCGUGCCGCAAGUUACCAACAUCGCGUGCUUAUACACCAUCGACUUUGCUGGAAAUCUAUCUGUCCGUGCUCCACCGUCUGUCGGAACUUCUUCUGCCCAUGCUACACCUGAGCUCAACACUGCAUCGCCCGGUUCGUUUGCUUGCUUCCUUUGCUUGGCUCAGGAAGGAGAAGGCCAGGACUAGCGACAAGAACCUAAGGGUCUUGCGUCACGGCCUUUGCCCAGAAGGCGAAGAACUAAAACUAUUUUUUUUUACCUUCCAAAAAAUUACAUGGUACAUAACUACUCCCUCCGUUCAGAAAUACUUGUCAUCAAAAUGGACAAAAGAAGACAUAUCUAGACGUAUUUUAGUUCUAGAUACAUUCUUUUUUGUCCAUUUUGAUGACAAGUAUUUUCGGGCGGAGGGAGUAUUAUUAGACUUUAGAUCUCAACCAUUAUAAUCUAGACCAAUUGAUCUUUGCCCCGUUUUUUCUGGUAUGUAUACUACAAAUCUAUUUUCCAAUCCAAGUACACAAA